GGGCUAAAGAACAACAGAGAGCAGGGAUCUGCAGCCUUCUGUAGCGAUGUUCCUCUGUAUGGGCAGAGGCCUGAAGCCUUCUGAUGAGCUGCUCGGGAGCGUGUCGAAGGAGGGAGCUGUUACAAUCACCGAGGCCACCAGGUGGUGCCAUUGCCCCGCAGCACAAGAGCCCGCGGCCGCUCCCCCCAAACCCAGCCGGGGCAAGGGCCUGCAUCAGGAACUGCUUUAGCCUCCCACAAACAUUUCCUUAUCUUCGUCCAAAAGUAGGAAAAAACCCACCCCAAACCGUAAUUGCUAAGACAUCCAUGCAUGCCUAUAAGAAAAAAGAAGUUAAUUUUUACUUGGGAUAGGGAUGCUUAGAUUUAGACCCAGGUAAUUUAACAUUUUGCUUCUCUAUUGAAGUAAAUAAGAGCUACAUGCAUGAAGAGCAUAGAAGCCAUUGCAUUUACUACAUUACUAUUUCUGUUAUAAAUAAACCAAUGCUUACAUCUGCAAUGAUUGAAACAAUAUAUCUUUAAGCUUUCUUCAAAUAAAUACACUGACAAUGCCAACAAA